AUUGAACGCUGGCGGCAUGCCUUACACAUGCAAGUCGAACGGUAACGCGGGGCAACCUGGCGACGAGUGGCGAACGGGUGAGUAAUGUAUCGGAACGUGCCCAGUUGUGGGGGAUAACUGCUCGAAAGAGCAGCUAAUACCGCAUACGACCUGAGGGUGAAAGCGGGGGAUCGCAAGACCUCGCGCAAUUGGAGCGGCCGAUAGCAGAUUAGGUAGUUGGUGAGGUAAAGGCUCACCAAGCCGACGAUCUGUAGCUGGUCUGAGAGGACGACCAGCCACACUGGGACUGAGACACGGCCCAGACUCCUACGGGAGGCAGCAGUGGGGAAUUUUGGACAAUGGACGCAAGUCUGAUCCAGCCAUGCCGCGUGCGGGAAGAAGGCCUUCGGGUUGUAAACCGCUUUUGUCAGGGAAGAAACGCUCUGGGUUAAUACCUCGGGGUAAUGACGGUACCUGAAGAAUAAGCACCGGCUAACUACGUGCCAGCCGCCGCCGUAA
rnacentral:rRNA from 1 species